UAGCCCAUGACCGUGAAAGCGCAGUUAGUGAUAGAUGCAAUUGCCAUCGAGUUACUCUCCGACAGUCCAAUCUACAUUUGCAAAUGCUUGACACAUCGGUAUUGACUAAACGAGUCGUGAUGACCAUGAAGAUGGCGCAUUUUACGGUAUAUCGCAGUUUCUGAAUUGUUCUUGCACCCCAAGACCAGUUUGGACCGGCGGACAAUAUCACGACUGCUAAUUAUCAUCUAACGACUCAACUCUACCACCGGGAGUGGGACCCGAUAUCUGAUUUGGUAGCUGAGCCAUAGGCUAAUGACUAACUGGGAAAUAAAUAAAUAAACCUUUAAAAAAACUAUUCCUGUUCCUAUCGAGAUGCUGCUGCAAUAAUAGCGUUCAGAGAUUAGAUUACCGUGUGUGUUGGGUAGGUGGACACAGAGACUGCAUCAGUGUGUGACUAGGAGACGGCGAGCAGAGCAGACCCGGGAGAUAAAGAAAUCGUGGGUUAAGACAUUUGUGGUCCUUUGUAUGUUAUAGAUUUCUAUGGAGAUUAUCCCGUUCGUAUCGAAGGAGUCGGGGAUAUUCUUAUAGCUUUUAUUUAGCUACAUUCUCCCACGAUAUCGACAGAAUGAGGCUUGGUCUCCUGGUGGGAAAAUAACAAAAAAAUCCAAAAUGUGGAUACCAACAGAAGAUGAAAAAAUCGGAGUUGUGAUCUGCAACUUCCGGAGCUCAGUAUGUCAGGCCCUGGUUCUGGAGAUAGGAGAGACUGUGCAGAUCCUGGAGAAGACUGAAGGCUGGUACAGAGGGUUUUCCAKCAAGAAGCCUUCCAUCAAG